rnacentral:rRNA from 2 species
AAAUUGAAGAGUUUGAUCAUGGCUCAGAUUGAACGCUGGCGGCAGGCCUAACACAUGCAAGUCGAACGGUAACAGGAAACAGCUUGCUGUUUCGCUGACGAGUGGCGGACGGGUGAGUAAUGUCUGGGAAA